AAUUGCUGGAGUCGGGAACCCGAGAGGUGAGCAAGAGCAAGCACUUAGCUGAGUGAGUCAGGCGGGCCUGCGUGAAAGGAUAUACACUGCCUCUAGGACUGGGACAGAUAGCCACUGAGUACCUGCUUCAAAUCACCCUGCACGUUUUCUCUUUGGAAAGAUAAGCACUGGAGAACCAUCUCGUUACCUUCAGCAGAAAUGGAAACAAAUCAAGACAUUAAGAAUGCCGCAGUGGACAGCAGUUAUGCAAGGUUCAGCAGAGGAAGUUUUCAAGAUGGUGUGCCUCACUAGCCAGAAAUCAGAAAAGAUCGAAGCUAGCCUUUUCAUCUCAGCUGCUCCUUAAAUCAGUGCAACCCCUCCAAAUUAAUGUGAAUUGAAACUUGCAUUGCUUUUCAACUUAAUUGAAUACUUACUAUAUGUGAACCACUGCACAAAAUAGGGGAAGAAGAUGUGGGAGACAAAGAUGUGGAGCCUGUCUUCAAUAAAUUUACAGUUAGUUUCAGGGUACAUUGUUUUUCUUCUGCUGUUAAUUAGGUGUAUCCCCAAGACAAUAAAUACAUGAAUGGAAAAGUAUAUUCUGUGUUUUAAGUCUCUUUAAUAAAAAACAAAACAAAAUCCAAAAAAACUCCUAACAUGGCAACUCAGGACAUUUUAAUCCUUUUUUUUGUUGUUGGGCUUCUGAUAGGAUCCAUUUUAUUGAUUCCAUAAAUAUUUAGUAGACUUUAGACAUAUUAAUACAUUGUAGUUUGAGUUAAUUUGCAUUAAAUUCUGUUUUUUUCCCCUUAGGUAUAGAUUGUCUGUUGGAAAAAUAUAUUGCUUGUGGAUUUCUUGGGGAGUGGGAAGGUGAAUUAUACCUGUUGUCUCUACAGUCCACUACCUUCCACACCCUAGGGCAGUGGUCCCCAACCUUCUUGGCACCAGGGAUCAGUUUCCUGGAAGACAAUUUUUCUGUGGAUGGUGUGGGGAUGGUUUUGGGAUGGAACUGUUCCACCUCAGAUCAUCAGGCAUUAGUUAGGCUCUCAUAACGAGUGCGCAGCCUAGAUCCCUCACAUGCACAGUUCACAGUAGGGUUUGCGCUGCUAUGAGAAUCUAAGGCUGCCACUGAUCUGACAGGAGGCAGAACUCAGGUGGCAAUGCUUACUGGCCCACUGCUCACCUCUUGCUGUGCGGCCUGGUUCCUAAUAGGCCAUGGACCCCCACAGACGGGUACUAGUCUGCAGCCUGUGGACCCCAGCCCUAGGGGCCUGCCAUUCUGAGUGAGUUAUUAGCAUGAAGAAGAGGAAGAUCUGGAUCAAACGUGGGUGAUGGUACUCAGAGACCCAAGAUAGGAUAGGGAUGGAACAAAAUCCAUCUGGGCAACGGCUCUAUGAAAAUUUGGCUAAGUAAUUAUUUCAGUAUUCAUUGUAUUCAUUGUCCUUCGUGUUCCAUAAGUUAAAUGACUGUCUAAUUUUUCCAAAAAUUUAUUUCUGACUUGAGAAUAAGUGUGUCAUGAUUUUCCCAGUGUAAAGACACUGAUAUAACUGUAGAUACCAGACAUUUUAUGUAGUGUCUAUGACACAUUUUAGUAUGUAUGAGCCAACAAUAGACAUGUCUUUGUCUUGAGGAGUGUCCAUCUGAAUUGAAAAUGUGUCAGCUUUUUUUUAACAUCAUCAACAGACUUCUUAAUUAAGCUGCCAAUACAUACUGCCAAUAGCACUGUGUGCUGUCUGAGAAAUGCAUUGUGUAAGUGCUAUUUCCAUCUUAUUAAAUAAAC
rnacentral:lncRNA from 1 species